rnacentral:lncRNA from 10 species
GAAAGGCAGUCUGCCAUAUAAACAGCCGAGGGAAGAACUUCCCAGGCAGUGAGGGCAGUUUGGGCAAAGACCUUAAGGAAGAGAGUUUGGCCUGUUCUAGACUGGUCUAGAAGGCUCACAUUGCUGCAACAUGGUGAGCCAGGGUAGUAGGGCCCCAACCAGGCUGAAGAGGUGUUCAGGCCCCAGAGCACUCAGCACCCUGUAGGUGGUGCGAAGGCACUUGGGUUGUAUUCUUAUGCAAUAGAGCCCACUAAAGAGAGACAUGGUCUGCAUAAUGCACUUAUUUUUAAUCAGGGAGACCAGCUGUAA